CGUUUGACAAUGUCCUUAUCCUUCAUUUUCUCCAUAAUAAAUGAUUUUCGAGUGGUUGUCAUAGGAGCUGGCGCAUGAGCAGCUGGACCAGAAUUUGGAGCAUCCAGACUAAGAGACAUGUGCAAGGAUUUAGGAGCCGCUUUCUUGCUUUCUUCCAUGGAUGGAUUGUUACCCUUCGCUAAGGCUGAAUCAGUUACUUUCUUCGUUGAAGGCUGCAACAUGGACAAUGUGCUAGAAGUUGGCAUUGUC
rnacentral:misc_RNA from 1 species